GGAACAUUUUCAUCAUACCCCAAAAUUGUUUGUGCUCCUCUACAGUCAGCAACCCCCAACCCCAACCCCAAGCUCCAGCCUCAGCGGAAGAUUCUCCGUGGGUACAACUCCCCCUCUGUUGCUCCUGGCUGCAGGGUGAAAGGAACAGGAACAUCAUCGUGGGCAGUACUCUUAAGGUCACACCACGUCUGGUGGAAUGUGCUGAACUUGAGAGUUUGAGAUCCAACUCCAGAGAGCACUUUUGAAAUGGAAAUGCAGUCAUCCAAACAGUGAGUGGUGAAAGUGUAUGGUUUCUGACUCAGGUGGCCAAUCUUGGACAAGGUCUCUAAGGAUUUCGGACCUUCAAAGAUGUUCUGGAUCUCUUCAGAGGAACCUGCUUGAAUCCUGAGAUGGAAGUCUCUUUCCUCAACUUGAACCUGACUUACAUCUGUGUAGUUGACAUAACUGUGAAAGUGAAGAAGUGUCCGUCUUGAGCCUACAGCUUGAGAGGAUGUGCCCAAGUCCACUCUCGUUCCUGGGACCUUGCAGUUCCAUUUGAGCAAUCCUGGGCUGGCCUGCUGGUAGAUGAGAGACAGGUGGCCCACUUGCCUCAGCUGACAGCCAACCACCCCCAGAAACAGAGGCUGCUGGCUGCCUGGCAACUGGUCACAGAUGCAUAUGGGAGUCCAGCUGUGACUAGAACCACCCAGCUAAUCCCAGCCUAAAAUGCUGACCCAAAUGCAUUCUGCUGUCAUUUAUUUUUUU